UUAAGCUACCAGAGAUGAGUUCUAUUCCGGACAAGCAACCAAAGAUGGACAGGAACUUGACUUCCGGCAGUCAAUCCGAGCAACAACCACGGACCGGCGAUAUCAGUGUAGACGAUUUUGAACCCCUGAGUUGAUAGGAAAAGGAGGCUUCGGGAAGGUUCACUUGGUUAAGCAGAUUAGAGGCUUGAAUGUGGGACAAUAUUACGCGAUGAAGACAAUGAAAAUGAAGAAAAUCACUGCCGACAGAGGAUCUUUGUGGCACACGAUGACGGAGUGCCGCGUGUCAGCGGAGGUAGGCGACAGCACGUUCUUGGUUAAGUCGCACUACACCUUCCAGACGGAAUCUGAUCUGAACCUUGUGAUGGGUGAGUACAUAAAGAACUGCUCUCAUAUUCGGGACAGAACCGCGACUGGGUGUUUGGGUCCUGAAUCGCAAGGAACUGAAGUCUGUAACUACGUUUAGAGCUACACUUUAAAUUUACAUUUUGUCGAAUUUAAUAUGCAAUACACUACUAUUCGCUGACAUCUAGUAAGAGUAAUGGUCCUUAACCUGUUAACGCGGAAAGUUUAAAUACCCCGCAUUUACCGCUGUUGUGCUGUGAUGGCGGUAGUUUUUUUAAAUGUCCAUUUAAAUUUUGCUGUAAAAUACUUUUUUUUAUAACUUUUGAACUAUAUGAGAUAUAAUUAUGAAUUCUUCACUGAAAUCCUCUUUAAAGAUGGUUUUGUAAUCUUACCUUAUAAGAUGAGCACCCUGUGUGUGACCAAUGGGAGCAAGUGGAUCAGAAGUUGAGUUUUGUGUGGUAGUCCUUGGAACAGCCAUCCAUACACAACCCUGCCUCACACUCACUACACCAAUAAGUCGAAUCUUUCCUUCUUCCGCGUUUCCUGCACACCACACAUUUCCUUUGAGGUUUUGCCUUCCUUCCGGUGGCAGGAAUACGCUCCGGAAAAUGUCUUUCUGUCAGUCUUUUAGGUGGCGGCUCAAUUGUCGGACGGCCGUGUACAGGACGAGGAACACCAGAACCGUGUUUUUCUACGAGGCCUUGGGCUAAUGAAAGUCUGAAUUUCAAGGUGUCUAAGGUUUUGG